AGAGUUUGAUCAUGGCUCAGGGUGAACGCUGGCGGCGUGCUUGACACAUGCAAGUCGAACGGUAUGUGGCAACACAUAGAGUGGCGAACGGGUGAGUAACACGUGGGAACGUACCCUACGCAGGGGGAUAACUGACCGAAAGAACAGCUAAUACCGCAUAAGACCGAAAGGUGAAAGGUGCAACUGCACCGGCGAAGGAGCGGCCCGCGGACCAUCAGCUAGUUGGUGGGGUAAGAGCCUACCAAGGCAACGACGGAUAGCCGGCGUGAGAGCGUGGCCGGCCACAAGGACACUGAGAUACGGGUCCUACUCCUACGGGAGGCAGCAGUGCGGAAUUUUAGAUAAUGGAGGCAACUCUGAUCUAGCGACGCCGCGUGCAGGAAGAAGGUCUUCGGAUUGUAAACUGCUGUGGUAAGGGAAAAAUGCCAUGUAGAGUGGAAAGCUACAUGGAGGGAUGGUACUUUACUAGAAAGCCCCGGCUAACUACGUGCCAGCAGCCGCGGUAAUACGUAGGGGGCGAGCGUUACCCGGAAUCACUGGGCGUAAAGGGAGCGUAGGUGGCCUGACAUGUCAACUGUGAAAACCCGGAGCUCAACUCCGGACUUGCAGUUGAAACUGCCAGGCUUGAGGACGGUAGAGGAAGACGGAACUGCCAGUGUAGGGGUAAAAUCCUUAGAUAUUGGCAGGAACGCCGGUGACGAAGGUGGUUUUCUGGGCCGGUUCUGACACUGAUGCUCGAAAGCCAGGGGAGCGAACGGGAUUAGAUACCCCGGUAGUCCUGGCCCUAAACGAUGUUCACUAGGUGUGGGGAGCGGAAAGCUUUCCGUGCUAAAGCUAACGCAAUAAGUGAACCGCCUGGGGAGUACGCCCGCAAGGGUGAAACUCAAAUGAAUUGACGG
rnacentral:rRNA from 1 species